rnacentral:tRNA from 1 species
GGCUUCAUAGCUCAGUUGGUAAGAGCCCUGUACUGGCAUUGCACAGGUCAUGGGUUCAAAGCCCAUUGAAGACA